rnacentral:rRNA from 1 species
GGUCUUAUGAUUUGUAAUAUAAGAUUUGGCCUGCUCUAUGUUGAAUAAAUGGCCGCGGUAUAUUGACCGUGCGAAGGUAGCAUAAUAAUUAGGCUAUUAAUUGUGGUCUUGUAUGAAAGGUUGGACGAGGGAAGUACUUUCUUAUUUUCAAGGUUGAACUUAAAUAAUUAGUAAAAAUGCUAAUAUAUUAUAAAAAGACGAGAAGACCCUGUUGAGUUUUAUAUUUAUUUUAUUUAUUAUAUUUAAUUGGGGCGAUGAUUUAUAAACAAUCUAUUUAAUUGAUCCAUUAUUAGUGAUUAAUAGAAUAAAUUACCACAGGGAUAACAGCAUAAUUUGAUUGGAGAGUUCUUAUUGAUAUUCAAGUUUGUGACCUCGAUGUUGGAUUAAGAUUCCUUUUAGGUGCAGGUGCUUAAAAAGGUAGACUGUUCGUCUAUUAAAUUCUUACA